rnacentral:tRNA from 1 species
GGCGCGGUGGCAGAGUGGUCAUGCCGACGACUGCAACUCGUCUUACGCCGGUUCGAUUCCGACCCGCGCCUCCA